GAUGAAGAACGUAGCGAAAUGCGAUAAGUAAUGUGAAUUGCAGAAUUCAGUGAAUCAUCGAAUCUUUGAACGCACAUUGCGCCCGCCAGUAUUCUGGCGGGCAUGCCUGUUCGAGCGUCAUUACAACCCUCAGGCCCCCGGGCCUGGCGUUGGGGAUCGGCGGAAGCCCCCUGCGGGCACAACGCCGUCCCCCAAAUACAGUGGCGGUCCCGCCGCAGCUUCCAUUGCGUAGUAGCUAACACCUCGCAACUGGAGAGCGGCGCGGCCACGCCGUAAAACACCCAACUUCUGAAUGUUGACCUCGAAUCAGGAAGGAAUACCCGCUGAACUUAAGCAUAUCAAUAAGCGGAGGA
rnacentral:misc_RNA from 1 species